CUGUCAGUAUCAGGUUCUACUGGAACUGCACCAGGUUCUACUGAGGGUUUACUGUCAGUAUCAGGUUCUACUGAGGGUCUACUGUCAGUGUCAGAUUCUACUGAGGUUCUACUGUUCCAUUAUCAGGUUCUACUGAGGUUGUACUGUCAG